rnacentral:snoRNA from 1 species
GGUGGAAGCUGCAGGAACCAACCAUGUGGACAAAUGAGAAAAUACCUUUUGUCUACAGAAAGCAGCAAUCCUACAUAAACAUGGAGGUCUCUGUCUGACUUAGGAUAGCUGCUAAGUCAGAUCGUUCCCCUCCAUACACU